GUUCUGGGAAGCCUGUGGUUGAAGCCAAUGCUGGCUUUGUCAAUAGCUAACUCUUGACAUUCAUUUUGGGGUCUUCUAAAACCUGGCUGAAUUUUGCUGAAGUUAAAUAAUUGAAAUCUUUGGGAUGAAGUUUCUUAUCAUUGGAUGAAAUGGGAAAUAUUUUAUGCAUCAUUAUUAUCCUUUAUAAAAAUUCAACUGUAAAAUCUCAGUUAUGAAAACAUUUUCUUUAAGUCAAUGUUUCUCCACCUUAUUUUCAUUCAUUAUUGUCCCCUGAAAAAGCCUUUUAGACAUUUUUCUCCAAAUCUCUUUCCCCAUGAAGUUUCAACACCACAGACAUAAUGCAUGUGUUUAUGGACCGCAGGAACUUCAUGUCUAAGGAGAAGCAAUGUGUCAAGGUCCUUUCCCCUUGGGCUACGAAUAUGAAACCUCAGCUGGAGCACUGUGAAAAGGAAAUAAUCACCAUUGGAGUUUAUCGGCAACUGUGGGAUCCAAUUUAUGUGAUUCCAGAGGAGACACAAUUAAGCUUUAUCAAGCAUCUUCUAUUUCACAAUUAAAAAGAAGGAUAUUACCUGGCACCACGUGAUGGAAUCAGGAUAACCACAGCAGCUCCAUGAACACUUUUCUGAUUAUUCUAUCCCAGGAAAUAAACAUCCUCCCGUGAAAUAAUAUUUACCAAGUGAGCAGCAGAUGUCAUGGGCCGGCAGAUGCAAGCACAGUGGUGAACAAGAUAGACUUAGCGCCAUCCUCAUAAAUCUUACGGUCUAGAGGGGGAGAGGGAUAUUGAAUAAAAUAAUAGUGAUAGAUACAUACAAAGACUAAAAGGAUCUAAGUCAGUUUGAGGAGGGAACAGUGGUACUGAAGGGCCUCUGUGAGAAGGCGACAUCUGAAGUGAAACUGAAAGGGUGAGCUACAGGUGCUCAGGCCAGGGGCUGGGGAGGGGAGGCAUUCUAGAGAGAAGAGAGAUGAGGGAGAGCAAGUCCAGCAGCUUCUGGAAACAUAGGCAGGGCUUUUUACCCCACAGAUUUUUGAUUUUAUCCCAAGUACAAUGGAAAUCAAUUACAAGGUGUGAGCCAGUGACACAGCGGAAUAGGAUUACAUUUUAAGAUGAUCAUUCUUUUUUUUUUUUUUGAGACAGGGUCUCACUCUUGCCCAGGUUGGAGUGCAGUGACGCAAUACGAUACUCACUCCCGACAUCAGUGGAGGGUGAAGGAAUGAAAGGGGCCAGAAUGUGUGUAGGGGGAGGGAAAACCAGCGAGGCUGUGCUCUUUCUGCUGGAGUCAAGAUGCCCGUAAA